rnacentral:tRNA from 18 species
GGUGCCAUAGCCAAGUGGUAAGGUCAGGAGCUGCAACCUCCUUAUUCGUCAGUUCGAAUCUGACUGGCACCUCCA